UCCCACGGCUGCUGCGAACAGCAAGAGCGAAAGCCCUAAGUUGAUGAAGGACGUGUCCAGCUGCGAUAAGCUGCGUGGAGCCGCUGAAAGGCUUUGAUGCGCAGAUUUCCGAAUGGGGAAACCCAUCCCGUUGAAGACGGGAUAUUCAAUUGAAUGCUAACGCGCUGAACUGAAACAUCUAAGUAAGCGCAGGAAAAGAUAACAACAGUUAUUACGCAAGUAGUGGCGAGCGAACGCGUAUCAGCCCAAACCUGUUCGGUUACGGCCGGGCAGGGGUUGUAGGACCUGUAUAAAGACGAUUAACUGAACUGGAACUGUUUGGAAAAACAGGACAUAGAGGGUGAUAUCCCCGUACAGGUAAGGAAGAUUGUCCGACGGGUAUCCUGAGUACCGCGGGACCGGAGAAAUCCUGUGGGAAGCAGCCAGCACCAUCUGGCAAGGCUAAAUACUACCGAGAGACCGAUAGCGAACCAGUACCGUGAGGGAAAGGUGAAAAGUACUCCAAGAAGGAGGGUGAAAUAGAACCUGAAACCAUACGCUUACAAGCGGUCGGAGCCCUUUCGUGGGGUGACGGCGUGCCUUUUGCAUAAUGAGCCUACGAGUUGCUCCUCACUGGCAAGGUUAAGUCUGUUGACGGACGAAGCCGAAGCGAAAGCGAGUCUGAAUAGGGCGCAUAGUCAGUGGGGGCAGACGCGAAACUUUGUGAUCUACCCUUGACCAGGCUGAACGUUUGGUAACACAAACCGGAGGGCCGAACCGAUAGACGUUGAAAAGUCUCCGGAUGAGUUGAGGGUGGGGGUGAAAGGCCAAUCAAACUGAGAGAUAGCUCGUACUCCCCGAAAUGUUUUUAGGAACAGCCUAGAGGUUGAGUGUCAUAGAGGUAGAGCUACCGAUAGGGCUAGGGGGCUUCACCGCCUACCAAACCCUGACGAACUCCGAAUGCUACUGACAUAUACUCUGGAGUGAGCCCUUGGGUGCUAAGGUCCGAGGGCGAGAGGGGAACAACCCAGACCAACAGCUAAGGUCCCCAAAUCGUGAUUAAGUUGAUCUAACGAGGUCCAAUUGCAUAGACAGCUAGGAUGUUUGCUUGGAAGCAGCAAUUCAUUUAAAGAGUGCGUAACAGCUCACUAGUCGAGCGAUAGGGCAUGGAUAAUAAACGGGCAUCAAAUCACGUACCGAAGCUUUGGAUUCCGUAAGGAGUGGUAGGGGAGCAUUCUGGUCGCACCGAAGGUGUGCUGUGAGGCAUGCUGGAGCGUCCAGAAAAGAAAAUGUAGGCAUGAGUAACGAUAAUGAAUGCGAGAAACAUUCACGCCGUAAGACUAAGGUUUCCUGCGCCAUGUUAAUCAGAGCAGGGUUAGUCGGGGCCUAAGGCGAACCCGAAAGGGGUAGUCGAUGGACAACUGGUUAAUAUUCCAGUACUGGCUUGUGUUGCGAUGGAGGGACGGAGUAGUGAAAGCGACGCCUACUGACGAAAUAGUAGGUUUAAGGAUAAAGCUAUAGGCCGGGUUGGCAAAUCCGCCCGGACUGGUGAAAUCCGAUAGUACCUCAAGGCUUCGGCUGAGGGGAUAGUUCGUGUAAUCAGACUUCCAAGAAAAACUUCUAAGCUUCAGACACAAGGCACCCGUACCGUAAACCGACACAGGUGGUCGAGGAGAGAAUCCUAAGGCGCUCGAGUGAUUCACGGCUAAGGAACUAGGCAAAAUGACCCUGUAACUUCGGGAGAAGGGGUUCCCACGCAAGUGGGACGCAGUGAAAAGGCCCAGGCGACUGUUUAACAAAAACACAUGGCUAUGCAAAAUCGAAAGAUGAAGUAUAUGGCCUGACACCUGCCCGGUGCCGGAAGGUUAAGAGGGGAUGUCAUCGCAAGAGAAGCAUUGAAUCGAAGCCCCGGUAAACGGCGGCCGUAACUAUAACGGUCCUAAGGUAGCGAAAUUCCUUGUCGGGUAAGUUCCGACCUGCACGAAUGGUGUAACGAUCUGGGCACUGUCUCAGCCGUGAGCUCGGUGAAAUUGAAGUCUCGGUGAAGAUGCCGAGUACCCGCAACGGGACGGAAAGACCCCGUGAACCUUCACUACAGCUUUACAUUGACUUUGGGUAAAUGAUGUGUAGGAUAGGUGGGAGGCUGUGAACCGGCGUCGCUAGGCGUCGGGGAGUCAUUGUUGAAAUACCACCCUUUAUUUAUUUGGAGUCUAACUCUGCAUAAGCAGAGGACAGUGUAUGGUGGGUAGUUUGACUGGGGUGGUCGCCUCCCUAUCGUGACUGGGAA
rnacentral:rRNA from 1 species